UUCAGCUUCCCCUCCCCCCUUUCUCUUCAGAAAAGGGGAGGCCUCCCAUGGAUACCAACCAGCCUUGGCAUUGUCACCCGGCAGUAAGAUUAGGCACAUCUCCUGUUGAGGCUAUCAGAGACUCAGUAGGGGGAAAUGGUCCUGAAGGUGCGGCAGGAAAUGGCUGACCCCUCACCCUGCCCCUGCAGUGACCUCAACCCUGCUCCUGAGGACCACCCUCCCCGCUGCCUAAGGCGGACCCAUGAUCACCUCUCCAGGUUGGCCGCCAAACACCAGAGGAUGAAGCGCAAACGCAGCGGUUACUGCAACCCAGUUCUUUCAUUCAGAAGGUGAAGGUCACUUAAGCUUUCAUUGUUGCCUUCAAGUUUGUUCGAGAGAGAAUGGAUAAUCAAUAGUGACAGCACUGAAGUCCAAUCUGUCCAGAACUAGAGCUUGGUCUAGUACAGACUAAAGAUAAAAGAAAAAGAUGUGUAGCAUGUCCAACAAUGGGAAGAAAAUUUCCAAGGUCUUCUAGAAAUAGAAAUUUUUUUUUUCUACUUGGUCUAUUUGUGUGGUCUUGGCUUUCCAAAAGGGACUCAAGCUCUGAGUGCAGAUUCACAGCAAGUUCUAUAGUCUCUGUUCAACCCCUCUCUCUGCUUACCAGGUCUCAGGGCAGAGCCCUGGAGAGGCCCUUCAAUGAAUACUUACGGAAUUGCACACUAGCCCAGGCAUUUGGCUUGUCCUUUACAUUUUAAUGUUUCAGUUUUACAUCUUGAUGGAUCCACUCCAUCCUUCUCAGCUCUUACCCUACUGCUCAUGGCUGAGCUGUGAUGUACUGGGAAUGUCUGCGUUUAACACCUAUGUCAACAACCCUGUCUAGCAUCUAGGAUCACAGUAAGAAGAAACAAAGGCAUCUUGAGAAAAAAAAUACAUGAAAAAAUAUGUAAAUAUAUAUAUAUACACACACACACACAUAUAUAUGUGUGUGUACUGUGCCAUAGGCAUGAUCCUCACACUAAAUAAACAAGUUAAUAAGAUGUAAUAAAAAAAUUAAACAACAGGUUUGAUAUCAUGGUGGUUUGAAUGAGAAGUGCUUCUCACAGGCUCAUGAAUGAAUUAAUUAAAUAAUUAAUCAAUUAACUUUAUUGCCCCACCGAAGUGUUCCCUCCCGUAUCUCCUCCCAGUCCUUCCCCCUGGCCUUGAACUUAGAAAUCUGCCUACCUCUGCCUCCCGGGUGCUGGGAUUAAAGGCAUACACCACCACAUUCAGCUUGAAAAUAUUUUUUGAACACAUUAAAAAAUGUAACAUAAGUCUUUGACUUUUCCUAGAAGAGAAACGCAUCAGAGAAGUUAGAUUAACUCAGCAGGUAUAAUAAUAAGCUCAUACAAAUUGAAGUAAAAUACAAAAAAGUAGGGACAUUAAUGUGAGACCAGAAUGUUUUCAAGUCUAGAGCAUUGAUUAAUUUGAAUAUGCAGUAAAAAUCUACAGGCGUUACAUGAAAGCCACAGCUGCAAAGAGAACCUUGAAAGUUCUUACCCUGUUCUAAACUACAAAGACUCUGAGAAAACAUUAUGGGUUGAUUGGGUUUUGUUUUGUUUUAUUUUGUUUUGUUUUUUGCUUUUUUAUCAUUUUUGCAUCAAACUUAGAAAACAACUGCAAAAGAGACACUCUGAAAUCCACAGAGGCAGAAAAGUGAAGAUGUUUUCUGAAGUAGCUUGAAGAAGAGAAACAGUGCUUGUUUUAUCAAUGGGGGUCACACUCAGCCACCCUUAUCUUCUUCCCCUGCACCCUAGAUCACCCCAAAGCAGCAGAGUCAUAUGGAAACCAAGAUCACCUUAUCAGCGAAGUCCAUAAUUGCAAGGGCUGAUGUGGGUGUGAUGGCUAAUGUUGGUUGUCGACUUGGCACACUUGGGAAGAGGGAACCUCAUCUGAAAAUUGCCUUCAUCAGACCUGUUUGUGGGACAUGAGUGUUAGUUGUUGGAGGAGGGAUUAGUCCACUAUGGGUGGUGCUACCCUUAGGCAGAUAAGUUUGGGAUGUAUAAGGAGGGAAGCUGAGCAUGAGUCUGGGAGCCAGGCAGUAAGCAGCACUUCUUCAUGGCUUCUGCAUUAGCUCCUGCCCUGAGUUCCUGGCCUGACUUCCCUCAGUGAUGGAUUGUAGCUUGAGAACUGUAAGAUGAAAGAAAACCUUUGCUCUUUGGACAAAAGACAAGUACAACAAUAUCUCUCAAGGCAAAGUGAGGCUUGCUGCAAAAUCCUCCUUUUGGGUGUUAGAGCAGAGUACCAAUUCUUUGUUUCAGUCUUUUUGUCUGAAUUCCUUCUGAACAGAACCUAAUGCCCUCCAAGGAGAUGAGAGACCUCAAAGUGAACAGGGAGAUUCUGUGUCAGCGCGGCAGGACAGCAGCGCAUGAGGGACUGUGCAAAUACUUAUGCCGUCAUACUUUCUCACUAAAUAAGAAGAAUUAAAAUAACUCACUCAUUUAUUUAACAACAGCAAAAACCUAGAAAAAUAACAAUCGAAUGAACAAACAACAACAACAAAAGAACAGAAUAAACCCAAGGAAGAAGAAUGGAGUAAUAAAAAAGAAAUUAAUAAAACUUGAAAAGUGUAAUUGGUAAGUAAUUCAAGUACUAGUUCUUUGAUAAGGAUAAUAAAAAUGGAUGUCAGAAUAACAUUAAUAAAAUUUUAAAAUAAUUGUAUAAAAUAGAAAGAAUAAAAACAGAUACUAAACUUUAUUAAAACUGAAAGUGGUACAAUAUAGUUUAUGAUAACAUAUUUCAGUGUCAUGCAGUGUCCAGACCUCUAGGUAUAAAACACCAAAGCAAAAUUUAUGUUCAAAACAGAUAUGCACAGAAAACAAACCAAACCCUUGACAUUCACUUAUGAAAUCCCCUUACACACUGUACCCUUUUAAAAGAGAGUCUAAGCAUGGCUUUAUCAUCAAUUCUUGUUUUUUUUAACUUAAAUAUUUAACAGUAAAGGUGUUAUUAUUAGAAGAGGGGGUGUUAUUGAUUAAAGGACAGCAUGUCCCCCAAAUUCAAAGCAAAUCUCAGAGCAUCCAGAGCCAGUUUACAGGCUCAGAAGACAUGUGUUAAAACUAAGAAUUAAAAUAGUAUGCACUCAUGACACACAGCAAGAAGGCACUAACUUUGGACAGCAAAGGGAAUGAGGCCAAGCUAAGCAGAAAAACUUGUAAUACAUUUACAUCCUCACUUUGUAGAAGGUGAAAAAUGCUGAUACAGGUGCAAAACAAGUUGACUGUGAGUGUCACAAGCCUGAAGAAGAUAAGAAGGAAGAGAGAGGCACAGGAUUGCAUGGCUUAUUCAGGGGACACAUGAAAAGUGAGGCAAACAGAAUCACUGGUAGGGGACCCAAUGAGACCUGAGGAAAGUCAGCUGGCACAGGCCAAAGGAAGGGUGAUUUCAAGAACCAGCAAAUGACUGCUUAGUAUGCGCAGUGAUGUGGGUGCCUGGAGUCCUGGUAGCAUCAGGUCUAAAUAAAGCAUUGUGAGAAUCACAACCAGGUAGGUCAGGUGGCAAAUGAGUUUCUUUAGCCAUUGACCUCAGACAGCAUUCCCAAAGAUUCUCAUGAAGAGGCAAAGAGAGACAUGAACAUGGGAGGCAGUAUGCCACAGGAACAUGGGAGGCAGUAUGCCACAGGCAGCGAGAAGAGUUUAUACCACCAGUGACUCCAUGAGGAAGAUGAUCUGGAUUUGGACCUCCUUGGUUGAUUUUCCUCUACAUCCUCUCUCUAAUAAACCAUGACUGUAAGUCUCAAUAGCUUUCUCACCAA